ensembl:snRNA U6 U6 spliceosomal RNA
GCUUGGUUAAGCAAGACAUAUACUAAAAUUAGAAUGAUACAGGGAAGAUGAGCAUGGCCUCUGAAAAAAAGUGAUGUAGAAAACAAAAUAAACAUUAUGUACUU